rfam:Triticum aestivum genome assembly, contig: Triticum_aestivum_CS42_TGACv1_scaffold_030450_1BL
CAAGUACUCCUUCCGUCCGGAAUUACUUGUCAUCAAAAUGGAUGUGUCUAGAACUAAAAUGCUUCUAGAUACAUCCAUUUCAAUGACAAGUAUUUUCGGACUGAGGGAGUACAAG